rnacentral:rRNA from 1 species
GAUGAACGCUAGCGGCAGGCUUAAUACAUGCAAGUCGAACGGGAUUGAGAAGCUUGCUUUUCAUGAGAGUGGCGCACGGGUGCGUAACACGUAUGCAACCUGCCUUGUCCAGGGGGAUAGCCCGUUGAAAGACGGAUUAGGACCGCAUAACAUCAUUGAAUGGCAUCGUUUAAUGAUCAAAUAUUUAUAGGGACAAGAUGGGCAUGCGUCUGGUUAGCUAGUUGGCGGGGUAAUGGCCCACCAAGGCGACGAUCAGUAGGGGAUCUGAGAGGAUGACCCCCCACACUGGUACUGAGACACGGACCAGACUCCUACGGGAGGCAGCAGUAAGGAAUAUUGGUCAAUGGGCGCAAGCCUGAACCAGCCAUGCCGCGUGCAGGAAGACGGCCCUACGGGUUGUAAACUGCUUUUAUACGGGAAUAACCCCGGUUUCGUGAAACCGGCUGAAUGUACCGUAAGAAUAAGGAUCGGCUAACUCCGUGCCAGCAGCCGCGGUAA